CACUAGCGCGGUGGUCCCACCUGACCCCAUGCCGAACUCAGAAGUGAAACGCCGUAGCGCCGAUGGUAGUGUGGGGUCUCCCCAUGCGAGAGUAGGGA
rnacentral:rRNA from 3 species